rnacentral:tRNA from 1 species
GAGUGGCUAGCCCAGUGGUGCAGGUGCUGGUUAUGCACCAGGGAGGCCUGGGUUCGAUCCCAGGGUUGCCCU